UACGUAGGGUGCAAGCGUUAAUCGGAAUUACUGGGCGUAAAGCGUGCGCAGGCGGUCCGUUAAGACAGAUGUGAAAUCCCCGGGCUUAACCUGGGAACUGCAUUUGUGACUGGCGAACUCGAGUAUGGCAGAGGGGGGUAGAAUUCCACGUGUAGCAGUGAAAUGCGUAGAGAUGUGGAGGAAUACCGAUGGCGAAGGCAGCCCCCUGGGCCAAUACUGACGCUCAUGCACGAAAGCGUGGGGAGCAAACAGG
rnacentral:rRNA from 1 species